rnacentral:lncRNA from 1 species
UAGCGCGAAAGCGUUGCUUGUUUGGGAACCUUGAUUUAUGUCGCAAACUGAGUUUUCGUUCAAAGAUAUUGGGAUUUGGGAUCUUGAGUGUGCGGUAACACCUCAGGGUAAUAAGAGUGAUGCUCUACCUGAUUAUCCAACAGUGGAAAGUCUUUUUCCUUCUGAUCUGAGUUUUUCACAUACUUUUUUCCAAAGGAAAGUGUUUCCAGUACCGCCAUGGCCUUAUACAAAUAUUAGCUUUCCAAUGAUGUUCU